AAAACGAGAGAAUGUGAAAGAUUUCAUUGUCCUUCAUUCCUGUUUUAAAUGUCAGCGAAGGAGGGAGGAGGGUGUGAUCUGAUGGAGAUGACAGUGGACGUGUAUUCUGUAAGUACGAUGUUGGAUUCCAUUCUUUAAACUUUACGUAAUCCACCAGAAAUACGAGUCUCAAAAUAUUUAGAUAAGAAACAAAAUUAUUUAAAUUUGUAUCUGUCCACUGGAGUCUCUUGACGUUUACACCUUGUUAUCCUCUUCACCAGACUUGAAGACGUGCAUCCAAGCAUCAAACAUAAUUAUGCUUGUUGGUAUGGUAUGGGCUCUCCUGUCUGGAUAUACAGAAACUGUUCUUGUCAAUCAUAAUUAUGUUUGUGUGAUAUUUUGCUGUGUUAUUUUUACUAGUACAGUAUUUUCGGAUCUACGGAGUCUCGGUGUUCUCAAACAUGCCUAUUUUUUACUUUUGUUAUGAUGUAGCCACUUUCAAGGUUUUGGAGUAAGAUACCGUAAAUGAUAUGGAGACGCUACGCGACCAGUCGCACAACGAUCACUUUAAUGAUUCCCUCAAAAGUUGGCCCGACAAUAACCAGGCGACGGCGUGGCGUCGUCAAUCGCUCUCAGAAAGCGGAUACUAUGGCGAAGCUUUAUGGCCGGUAUGCUAACUCCAACUCCCCGGACCCAAUAAUAGCUCGACAGCAUCCAGUCACAGAAUUACUUCAUGAUGCGAAUUGACGCUGUACGGAGAUAUACUAAAUAAAUUAAUGGAGAAAAUUACUCGACAACGAUCAUUUUAAUGAUUCGCUCAAAGCGGCAGCUAAAAUAAGCAGACGGUGUUGCAUUGUCAACCGCUCAGAAAGUAGAUACCGGUACUGAAUCGUCGGCCAACGGUCGUUGGACCGUCGACCGAUAAUGAGUGGCUUUACGACAGUUACCAAACUACAACUCUACGGACCCAAGGAUACUUACAUGGACACCACAUACUUAGUUCUUAAGGAUGCAACAUGCAAAUACUUACGCCAAAAAGACGGAGAGAUACUAAAUGCACUGGAGAGAGCGGACACUGAAAUUUCGACUGACACAAAGAACACCUCGAUACCAUGCCAGUCACGGAAUUAGGUUUUACAAGGAUGCAACGAUACGAAUGAAUACGACGAAAUGGCGGAGAGAUAGGCCUACUACAUUGAAGAAUGUUCAUACAAAAUAUGCAUAAUUAAAAUGAAUUGAAACGAUUUAUUAGCAAAAUGUAGGUCCUACAUGUACAUAAAACUCAUAAAAUAUAGGCCUACAGCACAUAACGUUCCUGUAAUAUUUCUGGAACAUUGAAAUUUAAUAUAAAUUUAAAUCUAAUCAGUUUGCUCCGUUUGUAACGUUGUACAAUUAUUAAACAAAUUGGACAUCUUUUUGAAUGCAGAUUUAGUUUUAUUUCUUUAUUCUGUCAUUCAUUUUACCAUAAUCACAUUUACCUGUAAUAUUUCAACCUAACCAUCCAUUUAACAUAUUCUUUCAUUUAACUUCACUUAACUUCAGACUCGAAUAACAUUCGAUCAAAUGAACAAGUCUGCAUUCAUUUGCUGUCCAUUACACAGAAUUUUAAACUCUCUACUUUUUUUUAAAUAAUUUAAUUAAAUGUUUGCUUAUCACUACAACAUCGAACUGACACACCAUUUACAGAACCUAAAGACAUGAAACAGACUUGUAAAACCAAAGUCCCUAACGGAUGUGUCUCUGGAAUACUUUUGAAAACGAUUAAAGAAUAGGUGGAAAAUUGCGGAGUGACUUAACCUACAAGCACCGUAGUGCCAAGAAUAGUUUUCAUGUGCCAGCAAAAAAAAAUUGACUUGUGUGCUACUCCCAAAGUUAGUCGUCCUUAGCCCUUAUUGUAGCCAGAGGGAUCGAGCUUAUUGUGGAGCCAUUUACUCUAAUCCGAGAGUAUUACUUUUUUAAUGACCCUUAGAUUUAAUUUAUUCUCAAACCUGAUGCGUUUUGUUGCAUUAAAUUUGAUUUCCAUUCUUUCUUUCAGAGACUGAAGUGUGGGAGCUACUAUAGCAUGCCUGCAUGCGCGCAGCAUUUACGCGCGACUUGCCUUCGUAUAUGUACAUAUUUGUAUGUGUAUUUGAAUGUAUAUGCAUGUGUAUUUGUGUAUAUAGGCCUAAUAUAUGUAUAUUUGUAUGUGUAUGUAUAAGCACAAUUUAAUGAUAUUAAUAUUAAGGAUUCUCUUUCUAUUGCACAAUUUGACUGAGUGAAUCCAAAUGGAAUGGACGAGAUGAAUGACCUCAACUUCUUCCCGUGUCUCCUGGUGCAGUAUGGAUGGACUGCAUGUGAUGGCAUGAUGUGGAUUGUUACGACUGGACUAGUAAUAGUAUCAUGCUGCAUUGAUAGUGACGUUAGCUCAGUGCGCUAUCAUACGGAUUUGGUACAAAAUACAAAGCCAGAUGUGAACAGGGCUCAGGGGAAUGGAGCUGAAAUAUCCAAUACAGUACUUCGGACUGAGUAUCACAUGACGGAAAUGGGCGGUGACGUACGUACCUUGUUGCUAGUAGAGGUACCGGCUAUU